rnacentral:rRNA from 1 species
AGUGAACGCUGGCGGUAGGCCUAACACAUGCAAGUCGAACGGCAGCACAGUAAGAGCUUGCUCUUACGGGUGGCGAGUGGCGGACGGGUGAGGAAUACAUCGGAAUCUACUUUUUCGUGGGGGAUAACGUAGGGAAACUUCCGCUAAUACCGCAUACGACCUACGGGUGAAAGCAGGGGAUCUUCGGACCUUGCGCGAGUGAAUGAGCCGAUGUCGGAUUAGCUAGUUGGCGGGGUAAAGGCCCACCAAGGCGACGAUCCGUAGCUGGUCUGAGAGGAUGAUCAGACACACUGGCACUGAGACACGGCCGAGACUCCUACGGGAGGCAGCAGUGGGGAAUAUUGGGCGAUGGGCGAAAGGCUGAUCCAGCCAUACCGCGUGGGUGAAGAAGGACUUCGGGUUGGAAAGCCAUUUUGUUGGGAAAGAAAAGCAGCAGGUUAAUACCCCGCUGUUCUGACGGUACCCAAAGAAUAAGCACCGGCUAACUUCGUG